GUUACAUUUUACACUAAGAGAUCAUAUUAAUAGAUUCUAUUUUUGUAUAUUUAUAUGGUCCAUAUAUCUCCUAUUUUCCAAUAUAUAUCCAUUGGAAUUUCUCUGGAUUUGACAAAUUCAUGCUGAAUCCUUCCUUUUGGUAUUAGAGACUGGGUGUAUCUCCACAAAAUUUUCAAUUUUACAUCACGAACUGGAUUUUUGGGUUGUUUCCUUGGGGUCUUUCAGUUAUCUUUGUAGAGAGGAAAAUGAUCUAUGUUUUAGGUGUUGGCUAAAAACCGUAAACAGGUCUAUCGUGAUUGAGGCAAGGCAUUUUUACUGUGUUACAGCACUCAUAAUUUGGAAGCAGAGCCCUGAAGAACUGGCACUUCAUUGCAAGAAAGAGCUCUGCUCCGAAGGACAACUGGCAGACCUGAGUCAUCCCAUCAGUUACAUCAUCAGCAAAAGAUCAUUCUUACAGCACCAAGACCUUCUUCCAU
rnacentral:lncRNA from 1 species